rnacentral:sRNA from 1 species
AUUCAAGUCUCGCAAAGAGCGGGAAGCUGAGCUUGGAGCCAAAGCCAAGGAAUUCACCAAUGUUUAUAUCAAAAACUUUGGGGAAGAGGUGGAUGAUGAGAGUCUGAAAGAGCUAUUCAGUCAGUUUGGUAAGACCCUAAGUGUCAAGGUGAUGAGAGAUCCCAAUGGGAAAUCCAAAGGCUUUGGCUUUGUGAGUUACGAAAAACACGAGGAUGCCAAUAAGGUGAGUAUACCACAAAGAUUGGGAAAAGCUUGUAAGAGGUUGCCCCAGAGUAUGGGUAGGGUCUUGCUAGCACCUACCUAGAGCUGGGACGGUCUGAGUA